AUGCCGGCAGCUUCCACGCUCAUGCGGUUCGCUAGUGCCGGUCGCUCAGCUGCGGCGACCGCAUCUCGCUUCGCCCGUUUAGCUGAACGAGCGGCCCUCUCCACGAAGGCGGUGGCGGUCGAAUGUCACGCUCCCACCUUGGGUUCCCACCGUGCAGCCUCCGUAGAUCUGCGUCUGCACCGUCCUCCCGUCGUCGUUCCUCCCCCCGCCAUGACCGCACCUGCCUCCCAGACGCUCAGCUACUUAAAAGAACAAACGCCGGAAGGUAAGGUGAAAUUUGUGGCAGAGGAGAAAGACCUUGAGUCAGAUGAAACCCUUUGGGCCUUGUACGAGCGCUGGUGCGAGGCUUUCAACCAAAAGCGUGACCAUGAUGAGAAGGUUCGCCGGUUCAGCACAUUCAAGAAGACCGUUCUGCACAUCCACAACAAGCCCAAUGUGGGCUACAGAAGGGGAAUAACCCAAUUCGCUGAUGGAAAGCUAAGGAAGCCCUGUUGCACUGAUCUGCUUGAUCGUAAGAUUGCAGAGCAGGUUGACGGCUAUAAUGUUGAAUUUGUAACAGAUGGCAGUGGCAAACUUUACAAGCGAGUCUACGCUGAUUAUAAGGUGGUUCAAGACAGACUUUAUGUCCAUUUACCCAAGGGGGUUGAUGUGAAAACCAUCACCAGCAACCCUGAAUGGGCUGAGCUGGAAAAGUAUGACUCCACCAACCCUGAAUGCUAA
rnacentral:rRNA from 1 species